AGGUUUGAGUUGUUGAAUAAAAAAUUGAAUGACCUGUUUGUCACUCAUUGUUAGUUACAUAGUUUAACUAUGAAGUUAUAAGGUCCCAUUUUAGGAUGUAGAGUUCAAAAAGUUCAAAGGUUGGUCGAUUGCCAACCCACAUUCACACAAAGAGGUGAGAUCAGUGCAGGUUCACUGUCAAUGCACAGUGAGAGGUAUCACUUCUAAUGAAUGCUUUGCUACUGGCCACGAACAACCUUGGUUUGUCUGGAAGACACUGAACUAUCUGCAGGGUGGUGAAGGACGAUGUAAGGUUUCCAUGAGCAAGUGGAAAAUCUCAACCACUGAUGCUUGUGUAUGUGGGGAGGUCCAGACCAUGGAACAUCCCAUGAGAUGUGGUAGUGCUCCACAAUGUACUGGAGAUGACCUAUAGCCAUGCCAAAUGCCACUGCAAUCGCCUGUGCCUGCCGCUGGAAGGACGCAAUAUAGAAGACGGACGGACACAAGGAAGAAGAACUGGAUUGUAUAUCUCUAAAAACUACAAGUCUUAUGGGGAACUCUUGGUCCAAGGACGGACAGACUGUGAACCAGUGACAGGAGGAUAAGCUUUCCUAAGUCUGAUCUGCAGCAGCACCAACUCUCAACUUUCAGAAUUUAAAGGAUCUGCUGCCUAACAUCUUGAUGCUUAAUACCACAGGACAACAACAGAGGUUUGUGGAAUCCAUGUCUCUGGCAGGUCAAAACUGUUUUGAUAGCACGUGAAUGACCAUCAGCAGUUGGUCAAAAUAUGUGGCUCAUUAGGCAAGGAGAAAUCAUAGGCAAUCUUUGCAAUUUAAGUGUUUGGGGUUUUUUUUAGAAUUUUUUUAAACAUCUCUCAGGCAUGACAGUAGUUUCUGAAACUUCUGCUGCUUUCAAAAUUGU